rnacentral:rRNA from 1 species
UACGUAGGUGGCGAGCGUUAUCCGGAAUUAUUGGGCGUAAAGCGCGCGCAGGCGGUUUCUUAAGUCUGAUGUGAAAGCCCACGGCUCAACCGUGGAGGGUCAUUGGAAACUGGGAGACUUGAGUGCAGAAGAGAAGAGUGGAAUUCCACGUGUAGCGGUGAAAUGCGUAGAGAUGUGGAGGAACACCAGUGGCGAAGGCGACUCUUUGGUCUGUAAACUGACGCUGGAGGCGCGAAAGCGUGGGGAGCAAACAGG